rnacentral:rRNA from 1 species
UACCUGCAGCUCGAGUGGUGGCCGCUAUUAUUGGGCCUAAAACGUCCGUAGCCGGUUUGGUAAAUGCCUGGGUAAAUUGUGUAGCUUAACUAUACGAAUUCCGGGUAGACUGUCAAACUUGAGACCGGGAGAAGCUAGAGGUACUCCUGGGGUAGAGGUGAAAUUCUGUAAUCCUGGGGGGACCACCAGUGGCGAAAGCGUCUAGCUAGAACGGGUCUGACGGUGAGGGACGAAGCCCUGGGGAGCAAACCGGAUUAGAUACCCGGGUAGUCCAGGGUGUAAACGCUGCUUGCUUGAUGUUAGUUGGGCUCCGGGCCCCACUAGUGUCGGAGAGAAGUUGUUAAGCAAGCUGCCUGGGGAGUACGGUCGCAAGGCUGAAACUUAAAGGAAUUGGGCGGGGGAGCACUGCAACGGGUGGAGCGUGCGGUUU